rnacentral:tRNA from 1 species
GCCUGGAUGGCUCAGUGGGAUAAGUGUCUGACUUUGGCUCAGGUCAUGAUCUCACAGUUUGUGAGUUCGAGCCCCACGUCAGGCU